GGCGAACGGGUGAGUAACACGUGAGCAACCUGCCCUUGACUCUGGGAUAACAGUUGGAAACAGCUGCUAAUACCGGAUACGACCUUCGAUGACAUCAUCUGGAGGUGGAAAGCGCUUUAGCGGUCAAGGAUGGGCUCGCGGCCUAUCAGCUAGUUGGUGAGGUAACGGCUCACCAAGGCUUCGACGGGUAGCCGGCCUGAGAGGGCGACCGGCCACACUGGGACUGAGAUACGGCCCAGACUCCUACGGGAGGCAGCAGUGGGGAAUAUUGCACAAUGGGCGCAAGCCUGAUGCAGCAACGCCGCGUGCGGGAUGACGGCCUUCGGGUUGUAAACCGCUUUCAGUUCCGACGAAGCGCAAGUGACGGUAGGAACAGAAGAAGGACCGGCCAACUACGUGCCAGCAGCCGCGGUGAUACGUAGGGUCCGAGCGUUGUCCGGAAUUAUUGGGCGUAAAGGGCUUGUAGGCGGUUUGUCACGUCGGAAGUGAAAACUCAGGGCUUAACCCUGAGCCUGCUUCCGAUACGGGCAAACUAGAGGAAUGCAGGGGAGAAUGGAAUUCCUGGUGGAGCGGUGGAAUGCGCAGAUAUCAGGAGGAACACCGGUGGCGAAGGCGGUUCUCUGGGCAUUUCCUGACGCUGAGAAGCGAAAGCGUGGGGAGCAAACAGGCUUAGAUACCCUGGUAGUCC
rnacentral:rRNA from 1 species